rnacentral:rRNA from 1 species
CCUACGGGUGGCAGCAGUGGGGAAUAUUGGGCAAUGGGCGCAAGCCUGACCCAGCAACGCCGCGUGAAGGAAGAAGGCUUUCGGGUUAUAAACUUCUUUUAAGGGGGACGAACAAAUGACGGUACCCCUUGAAUAAGCCACGGCUAACUACGUGCCAGCAGCCGCGGUAAUACGUAGGUGGCAAGCGUUAUCCGGAUUUAUUGGGUGUAAAGGGCGUGUAGGCGGGAGCGCAAGUCAGAUGUGAAAACUCAGGGCUCAACCCUGAGCCUGCAUUUGAAACUGUGUUUCUUGAGUGCUGGAGAGGAAAUCGGAAUUCCGGGUGUAGCGGUGAAAUGCGUAGAUAUACGGAGGAACACCAGUGGCGAAGGCGGAUUGCUGGACAGUAACUGACGCUGAGGCGCGAAAGCGUGGGGAGCAAACAGGAUUAGAUACCCUUGUAGUC